rnacentral:rRNA from 1 species
AGGACGAACGCUGGCGGCGUGCCUAACACAUGCAAGUCGAGCGGGGACAAUGAGAAUGAAGCUUCGGCCGGAUUCUUAUUGUCUAGCGGCGGACGGGUGAGUAACGCGUGAGCAAUCUGUCUCAGACAGGGGGAUAACGCAGCGAAAGUUGCACUAAUACCGCAUGAGACCACAGAGCCGCAUGGCUGAGGGGUCAAAGGAGCAAUCCGGUCUGAGGUGAGCUCGCGUCCUAUUAGGUAGUUGGUGAGGUAACGGCCCACCAAGCCUACGAUAGGUAGCCGACCUGAGAGGGUGAUCGGCCACACUGGAACUGAGACACGGUCCAGACUCCUACGGGAGGCAGCAGUGGGGAAUAUUGGGCAAUGGGCGAAAAAGCCUGACCCAGCAACGCCGCGUGAGUGAAGAAGGUCUUCGGAUUGUAAAUCUCUGUCCUAAGAGAAGAGGGGAAGACGGUAUCUUAGGAGGAAGCCCCGGCUAACUACGUGCCAGCCGCGGC